GUGCAAAUGAUAGAGAAAAAAUCACUAUUUGUGAGGGGAAAAAAAAUGACACGAAAAAGGAACCACUGAUGCAC
rnacentral:snoRNA from 1 species